CGUCGUUGACUUGGCUAAGAGAAUCUUUUUUCAUGCCCAUACUGAAGGGCGCCUCACCUGACAAAGGGAGUUUUGCCUCAGA
rnacentral:tRNA from 1 species